UACGUAGGGUGCAAGCGUUAAUCGGAAUUACUGGGCGUAAAGCGUGCGCAGGCGGUUUUGCAAGACAGAGGUGAAAUCCCCGGGCUUAACCUGGGAAUGGCAUUGGUGACUGCACGGCUAGAGUGUGUCAGAGGGGGGUAGAAUUCCACGUGUAGCAGUGAAAUGCGUAGAGAUGUGGAGGAAUACCGAUGGCGAAGGCAGCCCCCUGGGAUAACACUGACGCUCAUGCACGAAAGCGUGGGGAGCAAACAGG
rnacentral:rRNA from 1 species